GUAUACCACCCACUCUCCCUCCACUGCCACUCAGAGACGCUACAAGCACUGAUCCUCAGCCGGUAGGUCUCCACACCAUGGCCUGCACCCUGAGAUCUCCAGAUAACCUUCAUCACGUGCCUCUGGGAACGAGGAAGAAAGGGGGAUGAACAGAACGGAAGGGGAAAUGAUGGGCAGGCACAAAACAUCUGACUGCUCGGAGCUGCUGCUUCAGGAGAUGCACCAAAGGCCAAGCACAGGGGCAGCCUGUGUCUAAGGGAGCGUCGCAGUGCUCACUCAUGCCGUCUGGAUGAGGUGACCUCAGCAGUGAGAGAAAACCAUUGACUGUGUGCAUACUCCGCUAGCAGUCUGGAGGUCUGGCACGGGCUGCAGGGUAUAGAUUGAUGCAAUUUCCUUAGCACCAAC
rnacentral:lncRNA from 1 species